rnacentral:rRNA from 1 species
UGGGGAAUAUUGCACAAUGGGCGCAAGCCUGAUGCAGCGACGCCGCGUGAGGGAUGACGGCCUUCGGGUUGUAAACCUCUGUUAGCAUCGAAGAAGCGAAAGUGACGGUAGGUGCAGAGAAAGCGCCGGCUAACUACGUGCCAGCAGCCGCGGUAAUACGUAGGGCGCGAGCGUUGUCCGGAAUUAUUGGGCGUAAAGAGCUUGUAGGCGGUUGGUCGCGUCUGCUGUGAAAGGCCGGGGCUUAACUCCGGUUUUGCAGUGGGUACGGGCUAGCUAGAGUGCAGUAGGGGAGACUGGAAUUCCUGGUGUAGCGGUGGAAUGCACAGAUAUCAGGAGGAACACCGAUGGCGAAGGCAGGUCUCUGGGCUGUAACUGACGCUGAGAAGCGAAAGCAUGGGGAGCGAACAGGAUUAGAUACCCUGGUAGUCCAUGCCGUAAACGUUGGGCACUAGGUGUGGGGGACAUUCCACGUUUUCCGCGCCGUAGCUAACGCAUUAAGUGCCCCGCCUGGGGAGUACGGCCGCAAGGCU